rnacentral:rRNA from 1 species
GACGAACGCUGGCGGCGUGCCUAAUACAUGCAAGUAGAACGCACAGUUUAUACCGUAGCUUGCUACACCAUAGACUGUGAGUUGCGAACGGGUGAGUAACGCGUAGGUAACCUGCCUGGUAGCGGGGGAUAACUAUUGGAAACGAUAGCUAAUACCGCAUAAUAUUGAUUAUUGCAUGAUAAUUGAUUGAAAGAUGCUAUUGCAUCACUACCAGAUGGACCUGCGUUGUAUUAGCUAGUAGGUGAGGUAACGGCCCACCUAGGCGACGAUACAUAGCCGACCUGGGAGGGUGAUCGGCCACACUGGGAAUGAGACACGGCCCAGACUCCUACGGGAGGCAGCAGUAGGGAAUCUUCGGCAAUGGACGAAAGUCUGACCGAGCAACGCCGCGUGAGUGAAGAAGGUUUUCGGAUCGUAAAGCUCUGUUGUAAGAGAAGAACGGGUGUGAGAGUGGAAAGUUCACACUGUGACGGUAUCUUACCAGAAAGGGACGGCUAACUACGUG